rnacentral:rRNA from 1 species
CCUACGGGCGGCACCAGUGGGGAAUAUUGGACAAUGGGGGGAACCCUGAUCCAGCCAUGCCGCGUGUGUGAAGAAGGCCUUUUGGUUGUAAAGCACUCUAAGCGAGGAGGAGGCUACCUAGGUUAAUACUUUAGGAUAGUGGACGUUACUCGCAGAAUAAGCACCGGCUAACUCUGUGCCAGCAGCCGCGGUAAUACAGAGGGUGCGAGCGUUAAUCGGAUUUACUGGGCGUAAGGCGUGCGUAGGCGGCCAAUUAAGUCAAAUGUGAAAUCCCCGAGCUUAACUUGGGAAUUGCAUUCGAUACUGGUUGGCUAGAGUAUGGGAGAGGAUGGUAGAAUUCCAGGUGUAGCGGUGAAAUGCGUAGAGAUCUGGAGGAAUACCGAUGGCGAAGGCAGCCAUCUGGCCUAAUACUGACGCCGAGGUACGAAAGCAUGGGGAGCAAACAGGAUUAGAUACCCCGGUAGUC